rnacentral:rRNA from 1 species
CAGCAGUCGAGAAUCAUUCACAAUGGGCGAAAGCCUGAUGGUGCGACGCCGCGUGGAGGAUGACAGCCCUAGGGUUGUAAACUCCUGUCAUGAGAAAGCAAAGACUUAACGUUAAUACCGUUGGGUCCUGAUAGUAUCUCAAGAGGAAGGGACGGCUAACUUCGUGCCAGCAGCCGCGGUAAUACGAAGGUCCCAAGCGUUGUUCGGAAUUACUGGGCGUAAAGCGUGCGUAGGUGGCAUGGUAAGUCAGAUGUGAAAUCCCGGGGCUCAACCUCGGAACUGCAUCCGAUACUGCCAAGCUAGAGUAGUGGAGGGGAGUCUGGAAUUCACGGUGUAGCAGUGAAAUGCGUAGAUAUCGUGAGGAACACUAGUGGCGAAGGCGAGACUCUGGACACUAACUGACACUGAGGCACGAAGGCUAGGGUAGCGAAAGGGAUUAGAUACCCCUGUAGUCCUAGCAGUAAACGGUGCGCGUUUGGUGUGGGCGGGUUCGACCCCGUCCGUGCCGAAGCUAACGCGUUAAACGCGCCGCCUGGGGAGUACGGCCGCAAGGCUAAAACUCAAAGAAAUUGACGGGGACCCGCACAAGCGGUGGAGUAUGUGGCUUAAUUCGAUGCAACGCGAAGAACCUUACCUAGGCUUGACAUGCUUGUCGUAGUUCUGUGAAAGCAGAUCGUCAGUUCGGCUGGACUUGCACAGGUGCUGCAUGGCUGUCGUCAGCUCGUGUCGUGAGAUGUUGGGUUAAGUCCCGCAACGAGCGCAACCCCUAUGAUUAGUUGCCAGCGAGUAAUGUCGGGGACUCUAGUCAGACUGCCUGUAUUAAACAGGAGGAAGGUGGGGACGACGUCAAGUCAGUAUGGCCCUUACGCCUAGGGCUGCACACGUACUACAAUGCCCAGUACAAUGUGAACCGAUACCGUAAGGUGGAGGAAAUCCUUAAAACUGGGCUCAGUUCGGAUUGUGGGCUGCAACUCGCCCACAUGAAGCUGGAAUCGCUAGUAAUGGCACAUCAGCUACGGUGCCGUGAAUACGUUCCCGGGUCUUGUACACA